rnacentral:rRNA from 1 species
UCAGGAUGAACGCUAGCUACAGGCUUAACACAUGCAAGUCGAGGGGUAGCAGGGUAGCAAUACCGCUGACGACCGGCGCACGGGUGAGUAACACGUAUCCAACCUUCCCAUAACUCAGGGAUAGCCUUUCGAAAGAAAGAUUAAUACCUGAUAGUACUUUUUCAAGGCAUCUUGAAAAAAGUUAAAGAUUUAUUGGUUAUGGAUGGGGAUGCGUUCCAUUAGAUAGUUGGUGAGGUAACGGCUCACCAAGUCUUUGAUGGAUAGGGGUUCUGAGAGGAAGGUCCCCCACAUUGGUACUGAGACACGGACCAAACUCCUACGGGAGGCAGCAGUGAGGAAUAUUGGUCAAUGGGCGAGAGCCUGAACCAGCCAAGUAGCGUGAAGGAAUGAAGGUCCUAUGGAUUGUAAACUUCUUUUAUAGUAGAAUAAAGUGAGCCACGUGUGGUUUUUUGUAUGUAUACUAUGAAUAAGGAUCGGCUAACUCCGUGCCAGCAGCGGC